rnacentral:lncRNA from 1 species
CUUUUUGUCACACAAUAAUUCAUGUUUGGGAAAUCCAUUUUAUAAUAAUGUGCUAAGAAUGUUAACAUGCCUAAUCGAUAUUUAGACAAAAUCCUCUGAAAGCCUCAGAUUCCUCCACAGAAUGCUAGCCAAGUAUCUAAUUCUGAUUUGGCAUCUAAUUUUAUUCCUGGGAAUAAUUCAAAAUUUACUUCUCCAUUAGAGUCUAAUCAUUCUUUGUUCUAUCCCCAAAUACUUUUGGUCAGGCAAAAGCACCACCUCCCAAAACAAGACUUUAGUCAAGGAGGAACCCAAAUCACCAAUCAAAAUUCGCCUGUUCAUCUCAUUCACUUGAAUAUGGAGGAUAUAGUGACUUAGAGUAAUAUUGAAUUUAAAAAUGUUAAAACAAUUCAGUAAAUCAAGAAAACAGCCAUUUGAGUAGCACUGAAGCUACAAAUAACAGCCUUGUAAAUGGGACCCAGAACAAGCCAGGACACCUGGAGGAGCAGUAGAUGCUUGUACCACCAAAAACUGCUAUAAGUGCUGUCUCCAUCUAAACUCAUGAGCAUUCAAUCUUCAACCCACUGUAUCCUUGUGGAAUUUGUACAAACGAAGUGGCUGAUGAUCAGGAUGCCAUCUUAUGUGAGGCCUCUCCUCAUAAAUGGUUUCAUCAAACCUGUACUGGAAUAACUGAAAGAGUGUAUGACCUACUACCCGCAGAAGCAGUCUUUGGCUGUGUUACCUGUAUGGAAGAUGAAGAUGUCCAGUUAAUGCCCACUAGAGAAACUUUUGGUCCACCUGCAGUGGGCAAUGAUGCUUAGUCACAAGCAUUAAUAACUAAAGUAAUUUUUCUGUCUGUGUAUUAUAGAGGUUCAGUGAUAUAGGAUUUAAUGUUUUAUAUUUUUUGAAUGCACACACAAAAACAUUACCUUUCAGUUUUUAUUAAUAUAUUAUUUCCUUACUAGUGCAACUUUUGUUUUCAAUGCUCUCUAAGUCAAAAUAAUGUGUGUGGAGGAAU